rnacentral:rRNA from 1 species
AUUGAACGCUGGCGGCAGGCCUAACACAUGCACGUCGAGCGAUCGGCGGCCGGGUGAUGAAUGUCAGGGAAACUGCCUGAUGGAGGGGGAUAACUACUGGAAACGGUAGCUAAUACCGCAUACCAUCGGAUGUGCCCAUAUGGGAUUCGCUAGUAGGUUGGGAACCGGCUCACCUAGGCGACGAUCCCUAGCUGGUCUGAGAGGAUGACCAACCAAACUGAAACUGCGACACGGUCCAGACGCCUACGGGAGGCAGAAGUGGGGAAUAGUGCACAUUGGGCGCAAGCCUGAGGCAGCCAUGCGGCGUGUAUGAAGAAGGCCUUCGGGUUGUAAAGGACUUUCAGCGGGGAGGCGUUACCCGCAGAAGAAGCACCGGCUAACUCCGUGCCAGCAGCCGCGGUAAUUC